rnacentral:tRNA from 1 species
GCCUAGUUAGCUUGGUUGGUAGCGCGUCUGCCUUGUAAGCACCAGGCCGCGGGUUCGACUCCCGCCCAAGGCG